ACGGAGCGCCCGCUCCCUAGGACA
rnacentral:tRNA from 3 species